rnacentral:rRNA from 1 species
UACGAAGGGUGCUAGCGUUGUUCGGAAUCACUGGGCGUAAAGCGCGCGUAGGCGGCUUUUCAAGUCAGAGGUGAAAGCCUGGAGCUUAACUCCAGAAUUGCCUUUGAAACUGUAAAGCUUGAGUGUCGGAGGGGAUAGCGGAAUUGCUAAUGUAGAGGUGAAAUUCGUAGAUAUUAGCAGGAACACCGGUGGCGAAGGCGGCUAUCUGGACGACAACUGACGCUGAGGCGCGAAAGCGUGGGGAGCAAACAGG